CAGCACUGAUCCUGUUUGAAGC
rnacentral:miRNA from 10 species